UUCUCCACCGGUACCAAAGCGGGAUUUCAUUUUCCGCCCGUUGGGGACGGAACCGGGUAGGUGAACAACCGGUACCUAAGGCUGUCCUAUGGUACCGGGUAGAUCUAAAACUGGUGCCUAAGGGUGCUUUAGGUACUGGGUGACUUUUCUAGCCGGUAUCAAAGUCCCUGAACAUAAAACCAAACCCUUGUCCUUCUUCCUCCUCUAGUCCCCUGAUUUUCGAUCGUCGUGAGUGCCGCUGCCGCAUCAUCUUGCCCCGCCGCCGUUCGCGUCUUUUCCGCGCCUGCUUCGGUCUCCUCCGCCCGCACCCGUGGCCCUUGCCUCCUCCGUGCCCUCACCCGCGCCUCGGCGUCGUCGUCGUCUCCGGUCACCUUUGCGCGCCCGCACUGCCUGAAGGAGGGCCUCCACACGCCUGCGCCUUCAUCGUCCCCGCCGGUGCCCGCGCGUGCAUCGGGCCGACGCCCUCGUCCCCCGCCGCCCGCGCGUGCAUCGGGCCGACGCCCUCGUCCCCCGCCGCCCGCGCGUGCAUCGGGUCGACGCCCUCGUCCCCCGCCGCCCGCGCUUGCAUCGGGCCGACGCCGAUGACCCCGAGCGCGGCACCUCUUCUCCUCACCGACUCCGGCUGGCUCCAACGCGCCACACGCCGUGCGGCCCCGACGCGCCGCAUCUCGCUGACCCCCACGCGCCGCUGCGCUGACGUAAAGCCGCCGCGUCGACAUGUCGCAAAUCUACAACGCCGCUUUCGAUGUUGAUCGGAUUAACACCGUGUGCGAUCAGCUCGCGGGAUUCAUUCUCAGGGAGAUCAGAGGCAACUGCCCGUAUCGACGUCGUGAGGGUCCUACUAUAAACAUGACUUGUAUAUUUGUAAAUAUAUUGUUAUUGCUAUAACAUAAUUAUAUGUUUGCCUUUAACUUUUAGUUAAUUUCGAAUAGUCUUUGAAUUUGAAACAUGACCAAUGGACGUAUAGUACUGUAGAGCUCGAUCGGGUACGCAUAGCAAUUCUCAAAUAAUAAACAAAACAAAUAAAAAUGAGGAAAACUCUUUGGUACCGGUUGAUUUUUCCAACCGGUACCAAAGGGAAACAUUUUGGUACCGGUUGGAAAUACCGACCGGUACCAAAGAGGCUGCGUCCAGCCUCUUUGGUACCGGUCGGUAUUUCCAACCGGUACCGAUGGUGACCAAAGGCACCGGUUGAAAUACCUGGUGCCGAAGAUCGAGGUCAAAGGUUCCGGUUUCGGGGUACCGGUUCGAAAACCGGUACCUAAAGCCUUUCCUAAUCGGUACCUAUGGCCUCUUUUCUAGUAGUGAUCACUGAAUCAUGAAUGAAAUGAAAUGCAUUUUGUAACUAUUUUCUUCACUGUUAGAUUAACUUUAGCAGUUUUUAUGCAUUUAUAGAUUGUAUCUGAUUUGCUUAAAGCAUUUGCACUAACAUGAAGAAUCUUCCUUUUCCAGAAACCAAAGUGAAAUAGACAGGCCUUGGUGGAAGAUGGCAUCUUCUUGCGCUGAUGAUAAUGACCAAAGUGAAGUAGACAGGCUUUGGUGGAAGAUGGCAUCUUCUUGCGCUGAUGAUCAUCCUUUCCCUUUACAAAUAUCCGCACUUAUCAUUUUAGUGGGGUGCAGUACACUGGGACAUAUUCUAGGAGGUAGUGGUAUGCAUGCACUCAAGUCUGAACUCUGAAUCCGGCCGGGUGGCAAUGGAAGGAAAAUAAAUCUCACUAGCUCUGUCAUAUGCAACGGAAUCAGUGAUCUUACUACACCAAUCUGUCCCUGCCUUCUAAGUUCCAAAGUGUAAGAACCUGAAGCAAACUUCAGAGCUGUAGUUUUGUUCCCUCAAAAAUUCUAAAAACAGACUCUAAUAGUUGGAGUACUCGCACGGAACCUGAACCUCUGAAGACGACCUUCCAUGUGUUGCAGGAUCAUGGUUGGUUUUUGGGUUCAGUGCUGUGUGGUACCAUAACCUUUUCACUUGUUAAGCAACAGACUCCUUGACUCGCACCAACCAACCAAGGGCUCACAGGUGUAAAAGCAAAUGUAUUGCAUUGCUUGAAUAAUGAAAGAGACAGGAGGGAAGUGUGCAAAUGACCCAAGAAAUACAAGGGGAGCAUAUCAAAAGUUUGCCCGGGUGCAUUGGAAUUGUGCUUCCAAAUUGAAGCACUUUAGGGAUAAGAGGAUAAAAGUUCGUUUGGUAGGCUGGCACGGCCAUUUCCUUUGUUGAUUUAUUUAUGCGUAAUGCCUUUUUCUUUCAUCCUUGCACCAACAAAAGGAAUCUCUUUUUCUCAAAGCAAUAAUGAUGGCAGCUUGUUUAAUUAAGAGUGGGAUGACCUGCUAAGAAGAAUUUGAUCGAGCACGCAUGGGUCAUCUGCGUUGUCCUGCUGUUUCCGUCUUGCCACUGUAGCAAAUCACGAUGUCGCUGCAGGGAUGAUAGAAAUAAAAAUGAAAUAAAGUUCAUUUUGUAGCUAUUUUAUUUACCGUGAGAUGGACUUUAGCAGUGUUUAUGUACUAUUUAGAUAUCAUAUCUGAUUUUCUUAAAGCAUUUGCAGUAACAAGACGAAUCUUCUUUUUCCUUGUA